GGAUACGUUGGAUAAAUGUAGAGAUUAUUUAAAUCCAAUUAAAAAGAUAUGGAGGAUAAAAUAAGUAAAUAAAAUAAAUAGAAGAGCAUGAAAUAAGAAUAGAUCAAAUUGAAGUGCAGACUGAAACGAACGACAGCCACGUGUGAGGUGGGUCUAAUCGAUCGAGAGGAAGGGUCAGAUCACGUGCAGCGAUAGCGAUGACGAAAAACGAGCAAAUACCCUCGGUGAAUCAAACUUUCAUUGAUCUACUGGCAGCAAACGCUAGUUCUCCUGCGCAACAUCGACACUUUCAGGUCUUUUCACUUUCCAAUAUAACUCCAGCGACUUUAUUUUGGACAAAUCUCGGACGUAUGAGGGUUAAUCAUGGUGGUCGUGACAUAAGGACAGAUGAAAUAUAAUAGAGAGGAAGAGAAAGAGAAAAAGGAAGAGAGUCCCUCUUCCUACCGGCACUUGCGUCGUCUGUCUUUGCCGCACACUGGAUCCUCUCUUCCUAGCAUCGCUCGUCGUGUCUGUCUUCGUCGUACACUGUAGCUCUCCUUGUUUGGGGUCCAGUCAUGUCAGGCCAUCUAUCGGAGAACGAGAGAACUGAAAUUUGAAGCAUGUACGCAUAGACGGCAGGACAUAGUUUGUCCAACACACGUUUCAAACCAAAGAGCUCGAUUUUUGCGUUCGGACGUGCCACGUUCUGCCAUCUAUGCAUGAUCGUUCCAAAUUUCAGUUCCCUCACCAUGUACUAGAUGACACUGCAUAAUUUGAUCGCUGAGGAGGAGUGGAAUAGAUUAAUUUUUUGUACUUAUAAUUUAAUUUAAUUGCGAUUAGGAUUAUUCUUCGUGUUUCUCGUUUCUGUACUUUGGUUUAAAGCUUCUCAACGUUGCUCCUCGUUUAAGCGUUGCGCUUGGUCACUCUAGGAUCGCUGAUCUAGGAUAGUUGAUUAACUAUAGUUUUUAUUGUUUAUUAAGG
rnacentral:misc_RNA from 1 species